ACCGCUUCUCGGCCUUUUGGCUAAGAUCAAGUGUAAUCACCCGGCCUACUAAUAUAUUCUCCAGUUUUGUCCAUAAACUUUUUAAACUGUAUGUAGAGCUUCUAAUUUUAAUUAUUAUAUAUCUUCUUUCUAGGAUUCCUAC
rnacentral:snRNA from 1 species